rnacentral:rRNA from 1 species
AUUGAACGCUGGCGGCAGGCCUAACACAUGCAAGUCGAGCGGAUGAAGGGAGCUUGCUCCUGGAUUCAGCGGCGGACGGGUGAGUAAUGCCUAGGAAUCUGCCUGGUAGUGGGGGAUAACGUCCGGAAACGGGCGCUAAUACCGCAUACGUCCUGAGGGAGAAAGUGGGGGAUCUUCGGGCCUCACGCUAUCAGAUGAGCCUAGGUCGGAUUAGCUAGUUGGUGGGGUAAAGGCCUACCAAGGCGACGAUCCGUAACUGGUCUGAGAGGAUGAUCAGUCACACUGGAACUGAGACACGGUCCAGACUCCUUCGGGAGGCAGCAGUGGGGAAUAUUGGACAAUGGGCGAAAGCCUGAUCCAGCCAUGCCGCGUGUGUGAAGAAGGUCUUCGGAUUGUAAAGCACUUUAAGUUGGGAGGAAGGGCAGUAAGUUAAUACCUUGCUGUUUUGACGUUACCAACAGAAUAAGCACCGGCUAACUUCGUG